rnacentral:lncRNA from 1 species
CCUUUAUGUUUGUACUCUUUAUGAUAUUUCUAGGACUGUACCCCGGAACACAGAGCCAACGGGUGCCAACGAUCCCAACUUUCCCUCCAUUUUGUGCAGCUCAGAUUGGAAUUGCAAAUCAUGCGUGCUAUAUGCUGCCAUUCAUAUCCAUCCAUCCAACCUCUCAUCCAUCCCCGACACUUUCUCCUCUAUUGCCUCUGUCUCUGACUCUCUCUCCUCCUAUACAUCCUUCCUCGGACAAAUCAGGUGGCGGUGGUCACAACCACGGGCACGAUGACGAUCACAAUCACAACCACGGGCACGAUGACGAUCACAAUCACGAUCACGAUCAUGAUCACGAUCACGGGCACGGGCACGAUGACGAUCACGAUCACGGUCAUAAUCACGGGCACGAUCACGAUCACGGUCAUGGGCACGAUCACGGUCACGGGCACGAUCACGGUCACGGGCAUGAUCACGAUCACGAUCACGGUCACGGGCACGGGCACGGGCACGGGCACGGUCACAGGAAUGGAGAAAUGCAUAUUAAACGUAAAUGUUGCCGAUCGUUAAAAGGUGUUGACCCGUUCUGUGUUUGUGGAUUG